CGCAGCUGUGUCAAAUUCAGUGCCUGCCCCCACCAUGCCAGGCACUGGCCGAAAAGGCUGCCAUAGAAACACUGUGACUCAUGGGCUCUGAGCCUCUCUCUCUGGGCCUCAGGGAUACAUCUGGUUACAGACACCA